rnacentral:lncRNA from 1 species
UUAUUUAUUCAUUUACCGUACAGACGCUGCGUGGUGUUCCGAAUUAGUCCUUGAGGAAGUGGUGCUCGAAGUAGUACCGGCUGUCUCCCGAGUGCGGGUCGGGGUAGGCUCUAUUGUUGAAUUCCAAUGGCAGAUCGCGAGCGCUCGGCCGGAUCACGAACGGAGCGUGUCGCUCCGGCUGAGAUCACUUUCAUCUGCUCGCAUCAAAUCUGCGAAUGGAAUGCGUGCGCUCCCGCGCGAUCCCAGGAGGCGAUCCCGCGGGAUCCCAGCGUGCGAUCCCAGCAUUCCACGCGUGCAUUAUUUUUCCCGGUAUUUCGCACGAGCAUCGCACGUGUUAGCGCGCUUGGACGCAUGGAAAUAAUGGAUCGCGCAGGUCGCUUUGCGUCUGUGAAUGCCAGCCCAGCAGUGAGUGUUUUGGUAAAUUGGAUUAUUUCGGGAGUGCCGGAAACGCAAGGUUCCUGUUCAUGUUACGGUCUCUUUGCACUGAACAGAUGUGAACACAAAGCGAUUGCGAACGCGGCAUUGCCGCUGCAAUUGUUUAUGAGCAAAGGGUCUUUAGUUGUAUAGACGCCACGUGUAUUGACUACAAGGCAGUUUUUUUUUUUUCAUUCGUCAUUCACGAGAGUUCGAAUAAGUGUGGGAAGCAUGACAUCAAGGCGACUGUUUUAAUCCGUAUGCCGUCACGCGUUGAGGAAAUAGUUGGAUGCUGUCGCUCAGCACUGGCAUCUUCCACUGUACUGCCUCUAUUUUGCGGGACAGAGCAUACUUUAUCUAACAAGGUAGGGAGAAUGGAGGCUGCAUUUAUUAAGUAGAAACUACAGUUACUGCCUAGAGCUGUAUCACAGUGUGUACCGCAAGCUGUCAGCUUUGACGCAGUUAUGAGCCGUGUGUAGGAAGUGUUUCACUGACUCGUGACAAUGCUGUUGCGAAAUAGAAAUGAUAAUUGGACCUCACAGAUUCAUUUCUAAAAUUAUGCAUUUCAGACCCCUCUGGUGCUUGCUCGACGAAUUAAGCCUCUCAGGUGGCACAAACACCCAGUCAAGGUAAGAAUAUGCUCUUGUAGCAAUAGGCAUAAUAACGACAAGCAAACAAAUAUAUGCCCAAUACGUCAGCGAACGAAGUGGAGUGCAGUAUAUUUCUGAAGACCGCAAGCGGCAUUAAAGCAUGUAGCUUACAUUUCUCAGCAUGCUUAUAUCGACCUGCUGUGGUUGCUUAGUGGCUAUGGUGUUAGGCUGCUAAGCAAGCAAUUUCAUUUGGAAUCAUGCUUCAUACCUAUUAUAUUUUUCAGGAUAAUCUCAAGGUGCAAAAAGUUGUAACAGCGGGCGUGGUUGUGAGUGGACCGGAGGUGAAACCAAACUACUUUUAGAUUAUUACGAACAGUACUUUGGACGAGUGGGACUCAUGAAAAAAUUUCGAAACAAAAAGGAAAUGUGGUCACAGAUAGCCGUCAAACUGAAGGAAACUCUUGGAGUGCUGAGGAAUGCAGACCAAUGCUGCACACGUUAUAAGACCGUAAUGAAGCGGUAGAAUACACCAGUGGCACACAACAGCAAGUCUGGAAACUCCCCAACACAAGUGCCUUUUGAGGAUGAGGUUGAAAAAAUUCGCUGGCUUGAUGACAGCCUGGAACCAGCAGAGCUACGGGACAGCCAUGGGAUCAUUUCACAAAAGGCGAGACCCAGCCCCCCUUCCUCAUCACUGUCACUCUCAUCACUCGCAUCACUCCCAUCACAGGCAGUUCCGACAACACCACUGAUGAAUCUGCCAGUGUUUUGGAGGACUCGCAGCCAAGUACCUCACAACGGUUUGCAAAUUCUGUCAGGAAAUUGUCGAAUGCGAAAAGUGCACGAGUAUCAACUGCAAGAGCAGAAGAAAUAAAACAGUUUUUUGAACAAAUGGAACGCCUUUAAAAGUUAGAAGAAGACCAAAAAGCUGUUCGUGAAGAAGCGAUAAGGUUGCGACAUGAAGAAAAGAAACAGUACAGAGAAGAAAUGACAAAAAAAAAAAAAAGCUGAGCGACACGAUCAAAAAAUGGAACUGCUAAAACGUGUCUUAGGAUUACCCGAGGCUAAUUAGCACUCAUGCGUCGGAGUAGUUGGGACGUAUGUGCAAUGUGAUAAUAAAUUCAUUUUUUUUCUGCUAACAAA